rnacentral:rRNA from 1 species
CCUACGGGUGGCAGCAGUGGGGAAUAUUGGACAAUGGGGGGAACCCUGAUCCAGCCAUGCCGCGUGUGUGAAGAAGGCCCUCGGGUUGUAAAGCACUUUCAGUGAGGAAGAACGCCUGGUGGUUAAUACCCAUCAGGAAAGACAUCACUCACAUAAGAAGCACCGGCUAACUCCGUGCCAGCAGCCGCGGUAAUACGGAGGGUGCGAGCGUUAAUCGGAAUUACUGGGCGUAAAGCGCGCGUAGGUGGCUUGAUAAGCCGGUUGUGAAAGCCCCGGGCUCAACCUGGGAACGGCAUCCGGAACUGUCAAGCUAGAGGGCAGGAGAGGAAGGUAGAAUUCCCGGUGUCGCGGUGAAAUGCGUAGAGAUCGGGAGGAAUACCAGUGGCGAAGGCGGCCUUCUGGACUGCCACUGACCCUGAGGUGCGAAAGCGUGGGUAGCAAACAGGAUUAGAUACCCUAGUAGUC